rnacentral:rRNA from 1 species
GACUUAUUAUUCUUUUUGUGAAUCAAAAACAUGAAAAAAAAAUAAUUUUAUUCUCUAGUCUUUUUAAAAAAAGAACUAAACACACAGUACUGAAAAGGAACAAUUUAUUAUAAAAAAAGUAUGAAAAGUACCUUUUGCAUUAUGGUUUAUAGAAAAAUUAACAUAUAGUCAAUUCCCGAAUUAGAAAGAUCUAAGUACAUGUAAUAGUUUAUGUUUCAAAAUAAUUAUUAACUUGCACUUAGAGGCUACAAGUCACUCGGUUUCUAAGAUAUCUGGUUCUUUUGGAAGUAAAUUCAAUUUAGAAAAUUAACUAGUUUUAAGGUUCUACCUAAACAUUAUUUAAUUUAAUUUUUAGAGAGAAAGUUUCUAAAACAAUUAUAUAAUGAGAAAACAUUAAUUAUCGAAUUCAUAAUAGUUAAUUUGAAUUUAUCUUUAAUUAUUAAUUUAAUACAAAAGAAGUGGAGAAAAUAAAAUUCUCUAUAAUACAAUUAUAAAAUGAGUAGUUAAAAACAUAUCACAUAUAUGAGUUAGGAACUCGGCAAAAAAUUUCUUUGUCUGUUUAACAAAAACAUAGCCUCUUUUUUAUAAUAUGAGGUAAAACCUGCUCACUGAAUCUUAAAGAGCCGCAGUACGCUAACUGUGCAAAGGUAGCAUAAUAAAUAGUACUUUAAUUGGGUACUGGGAUGAAUGGUUAAACAAGAGAAAAUCUUUCUUACUUGUAAAUGAUGAAUUUAAAUUUUGAGUGCAAAUGCUCAAAUCUCAGUGAUAGACAAGAAGACCCUAUAGAUCUUAAUUUCCUUAACUUUAUCAAAGUAAACAGAAAUUUUGUUGGGGUAACAGGAAAAUAAAAAAAAUUUUUUCUUAAUUUAAUCUUAUUUAAGAGACGGUUGACCUUAAAAUUUAAAUCAUAAGAUAAGUUACCUUAGGGAUAACAGCGUAAUGAAGAGUUAGGAGAGCCAAUUUUAAUUCGUGUUUACGACCUCGAUGUUGAAUUAAGGUUACUUUGGGAGGCAGAAUGUUCAUAAAGUUAGUCUGUUCGACUAUUAAAACCUUACAUGAUUUGAGUUCAGACCGACGCAAGUCAGGUCAGUUUCUAUCUUCACUAUAAUACAGGUAUACCAGUACGAAAGGACAGUAAAACUACUUAAUUUAAUACAAACAAAUUAAUAAAUU